GUCUCAGAUAGCCUAACUGGUAGAGUCUUUGGCGCGUAACCAAAUGAUCCGGGUUCGAGCCCCGGUCUGGACU
rnacentral:tRNA from 1 species